rnacentral:rRNA from 1 species
GGAGUUAGCCGGUGCUUCUUCUGUGAGUGAUGUCCUUCCUGCCGGUUAUUGACCCGCAGGCCUUCUUCCUCACUGAAAGUGCUUUACAACCCGAAGGCCUUCUUCACACACGCGGAAUGGCUGGAUCAGGGUUGCCCCCAUUGUCCAAUAUUCCCCACUGCUGCCUCCCGUAGGAGUCUGGGCCGUGUCUCAGUCCCAGUGUGGCUGAUCAUCCUCUCAGACCAGCUACGGAUCGUCGCCUUGGUGAGCCGUUACCUCACCAACCAGCUAAUCCGACAUAGGCUCAUCCGAUAGCGCGAGGCCCGAAGGUCCCCCGCUUUCCCCCGUAGGGCGUAUGCGGUAUUAGCCUGGGUUUCCCCAGGUUAUCCCCCACUACCGGGCAGAUUCCUAUGCAUUACUCACCCGUCCGCCGCUCGCCACCAGGGAGCAAGCUCCCCGUGCUGCCGCUCGACUUGCAUGUGUUAGGCCUGCCGCCAGCGUUCAAUCUGAGCCAUAAUCAAACUCUGA